GUGAGGAAUAUUGGUCAAUGGACGGAAGUCUGAACCAGCCAAGUAGCGUGCAGGAUGACGGCCCUAUGGGUUGUAAACUGCUUUUAUGCGGGGGUAAAGUGAGUGACGUGUCAUUCAUUGCAAGUACCGCAAGAAUAAGGACCGGCUAAUUCCGUGCCAGCAGCCGCGGUAAUACGGAAGGUCCUGGUGUUAUCCGGAUUUAUUGGGUGUAAAGGGAGCGUAGGCCGUCAGGCAAGCGUGUUGUGAAAUGUCGUGGCUCAACCAUGGACUUGCAGCGCGAACUGCCCGACUUGAGUGCGCAGAAAGCAGGCGGAAUUUGUGGUGUAGCGGUGAAAUGCUUAGAUAUCACGAAGAACCCCGAUUGCGAAGGCAGCCUGCUGUAGCGCUACUGACGCUGAAGCUCGAAAGUGCGGGUAUCGAACAGGAUUAGAAACCCUGGUAGUCC
rnacentral:rRNA from 1 species